GACGAACGCUGGCGGCGUGCUUAACACAUGCAAGUCGAACGGAAAGGCCCUGCUUUUGUGGGGUGCUCGAGUGGCGAACUGGUGAGUAACACGCGAGUAACCUGCCCUUGACUUUGGGAUAACUUCAGGAAACUGGGGCUAAUACCGGAUAGGAGCUCCUGCUGCAUGGUGGGGGUUGGAAAGUUUCGGCGGUUGGGGAUGGACUCGCGGCUUAUCAGCUUGUUGGUGGGGUAGUGGCUUACCAAGGCUUUGACGGGUAGCCGGCCUGAGAGGGUGACCGGGCAAAAUGGGAAUGAGGAGGCGGCCAGACUCCUACGGGAGGCAGCAGUGGGGAAUAUUGCACAAUGGGCGGAAGCCUGAUGCAGCAACGCCGCGUGCGGGAUGACGGCCUUCGGGUUGUAAACCGCUUUCGCCUGUGACGAAGCGUGAGUGACGGUAAUGGGUAAAGAAGCACCGGCUAACUACGUG
rnacentral:rRNA from 1 species